UAUUUUCUGUUUCUUUUCUUUUUUUCCCCAUGCAUACGUGUCUUCUGGCAAUAUUUGUACUGGAAGCGCUCCCCACGCACAUACUUGCUCUGUGAAAACUUGAGAGAGAAUUCCUCUGCUCAAAAAAAGUGGAGCCGCAGGACGAAUUCUACGACCAGGCCUCACCGGACAAGAGGACUGAAGCUGACGGCAACUCCGACCCCAACUCCGUGCUGAAAGAAGAUAAGGACAAUUGAAGUGAUGUGACCUAUCACCUCAUAUGUGCUGUGGCGGCUCUCUCCAUGUGCUAUGGACCCAGUCACUCCCUGGGUAGAAUAACACACAAUUUCCAUUGAUUUUGGUGGGAGCUGAACACAGGCAA
rnacentral:lncRNA from 1 species